UAACGAAUCUUCCGCAAUGCGCGAAAGCGUGACGGAGCAAUGCCGCGUGAAGGAUGAAGCCCCUCGGGGUGUAAACUUCUGUCAGGGAUUAGGAACACAAUGACCAAACCCAAAGGAAGAGGCGACUAACUCUGUGCCAGCAGUCGCGGUAAUACAGAGGCCUCGAGCGUUAAUCGGAAUCACUGGGCUUAAAGCGUACGCAGGCGGACGUGCAGGCAUCUUGUGAAAGCCCUCGACUCAAUCGAGGAAU
rnacentral:rRNA from 1 species